rnacentral:tRNA from 1 species
UGGGCCUUAGUUUAGUUAAAGCGUUUGAUUUGCAAUUAAAAGAUAUGGAGUAAUGUCUGUAGGUCCCA